CCUACGGGAGACAGCAGUGAGGAAUAUUGGUCAAUGGACGAGAGUCUGAACCAGCCAAGUAGCGUGAAGGAUGACUGCCCUAUGGGUUGUAAACUUCUUUUAUAUGGGAAUAAAAUGUUCCACGUGUGGGAUUUUGUAUGUACCAUUUGAAUAAGGAUCGGCUAACUCCGUGCCAGCAGCCGCGGUAAUACGGAGGAUCCGAGCGUUAUCCGGAUUUAUUGGGUUUAAAGGGAGCGUAGGUGGAUUGUUAAGUCAGUUGUGAAAGUUUGCGGCUCGACCGUAAAAUUGCAGUUGAAACUGGCAGUCUUGAGUACAGUAGAGGUGGGCGGAAUUCGUGGUGUAGCGGUGACAUGCUUAGAUAUCACGAAGAACUCCGAUUGCGAAGGCAGCUCACUGGACUGCAACUGACACUGAGGCUCGAAAGUGUGGGUAUCAAACAGGAUUAGAUACCCCAGUAGUC
rnacentral:rRNA from 1 species